AAAUUACUGUCAUUAAAUUGAACAAUAAAUUUGCCAAUAAAUUAGUGUCAAAACAGCUAUAAUUUUUUAAAUCCAAAUUAAAAAUUGUUCCUAGUCAUGUAAUUGUUUUUAUUUGUGAUUAGUUCCAGUCUUUAAAUUCCAUCAUCAGACAAAAAUGAUAUAGAGAAAACUGGUUGAAAUAAUAUUAAUUACUGGUGCAUUAUAGUAAUGAAAUUAAUAAAUCAAUAAGCCAAACUCGUCGACUCUUGUUUAGGUAAAGAAAAGCCUUUUGAGCCUUUCGGAUCAGGAAUAUCCUGUCCAAAGUUGACAAAACAGAACUGGUAAUGUCCCACACACACACGUGAUGGCACAAAGAGAGGCUCGACCUUUUUUAAACAACGAGCGGUGAUUUGAAUGGCCCUAAAUUACACCUGCAUCGGCUCCGUGCAGGAAGAAGUCAAUCUAGUCAAUGAGAUGGUUUCUAGCUCGGCAUUAAUUUGCCCGACAGAUGUUUCGUAUGAUUUCAGGAUACUUCUUAUUAUCCGUCUUUAUUAUUCGUUAAAGAUCUAUUUUUAGUGUCGCCGCUAAAUAAUGCAAACCAAGCAAAGUUUGCAAUGCAAAACCAUCCUGUUCAACAGACAAUAAAGAAAAACUGAGUA